UGGUUUUAUUAUCCAUAAAAACAAUCUUUUGCAGCUGCUAACAAUAUGUGAUACUUGGAGCGUGAAACCGAGACCAACAUGUGCUGAAUAAACAAAGAUUUGACCGACAGCCGGAAAGAUGAUGCACAGCGCAACCAUUGGGCUAGCAGAGACUAUAGCCCCGAACCCCUGCUUUUUGCAAUAAAAGACAAUCCAAGGUACCCUGAAACUGAUGUUGUUCUACAACUGUUCAUAAUUUGGUUAUCAUGCAUUUAGACAGGGAAACAACGAUCAAAGAGAAACAGGCGAAAAGUUACACAGUAGGUUACAAAAACCUACUUGGGAUACACUCUGUGU